UCUAAGGAUUGUUGUCAUUGUUUGUUUUCAGAUGCUCAUGUGAACAAAGGAAUGCAAGCUGGUCUCUGUGGGAGCCAUUUCUGGAGAACUAAAGAAUAAGCACUUUUCAAGAUGUGGAUUCAGCCAGGGACAAAUACAGCAAAAUUCUUUCAUGUACAACUUACUAUAUAUAGGGGAACUGUCUGGUCAAAGCCUGAACAGGUGGCUGAGCACCUGGUGAAGGGGUAUUGUUGUCCCAGGAAGCAUAGCGGCAAAAAUUUUACCAACCACUUCCUUAGAAGGAGAUGUCGGCAGCCAGCGAUCCUUGUCCCCAGCUGUGUGAGUCAACCUUUUUUCCUGUAUAUGGCUACUGGUAUUCCCAACAGUACUUUGACUGGUAUUGCAAAGAAUUUGUCAGAAGUACUUUUGAUGCUUCAUAGGACAAACAGUUACACAACCAGAAACAAAGAAG
ensembl:lncRNA